rnacentral:misc_RNA from 1 species
CACUUUUUUUUUACAAUUAUAUGCAAAUCUUUUAAUUUGAUCAAUUAGGUUCAUAAACUUUAAUUAGUCUUAUAGUUGUAUCCUCAGUUAACUAUUCAAAAUUGUCAUUAAUUUUUUAAUGUGGGCAUGGGAGAUACACUAUACUGAAGCAAAUUUAGGAUGCAUUUAACUUCCCUCAAGCAUAUAUGAUUUGACAACAGAGAUCUAUGCGGCAGUGGUCCAUCUAAUUUAAUAGCCAUAUAUGCUUCAGGAAGUGAAGCAUAUAUUAG